rnacentral:rRNA from 1 species
UACGGGGGGGGCAAGCGUUGUUCGGAAUUACUGGGCGUAAAGGGCUCGUAGGUGGCCAACUAAGUCAGACGUGAAAUCCCUCAGCUUAACUGGGGAACUGCGUCUGAUACUGGAUGGCUUGAGUUUGGGAGAGGGAUGCGGAAUUCCAGGUGUAGCGGUGAAAUGCGUAGAGAUCGGGAGGAACACCAGUGGCGCAAGCGGCCCCAAGCCUGAGCCUGACGCUGAAGCGCGACAGCGUGGGGAGCAAACGGG